CGGCGAUACAAUUUCGGCCUAUCAGGUUGUCACGAAUCAGUCCGUUUCGACCAAUAUCGAUUUUGCUUUCUCCACUCCCGUGGCCUAUGACUUCGGUGAUCUGCCGGACACUUACGGAACUUCUCUUCAGGCUGACGGCGCGCGCCAUGCAGUUUCCACAAAUCUGUUCCUGGGGGCGUCAAUCGACACUGAGACCGACGGGAUUCCGAGUGCCGAUGCAUCGAGUGAUGACGCAGACGAAAAUGGCGUCACCGUUACUGGUAUUUGGCAUAGCAACACGGGUGGAACUGUGUCUGUCAGUGUAGGUGCAGGCGCUGGCUGGCUCGUUGGGUGGGUGGACUUCGACCAGGAUGGUAG
rnacentral:misc_RNA from 1 species